UUCAUCCCUCAAAGCUACCCCUUCUUCUUCUACUGAAUUUCUUUGCUGGUAUAUGCCGCAUGCAACUUUUGUAUGUAGUAACUCAGUAAUAGGCUUUGCGGUAUUGUGAUUCCCAAGAGACGAAAAGCGGAACACAAAAUUGUUGGAGAGAAAACAGGAAACGUAAUAUACAUUCGCAUUCUAGGAGGCAAACAAGCUGAUCGGUUAAAAUGAUUGUGGUUAGAGUAUCGUAUUUUCCCAUAGAAUAUAAAUGUAUAUGAUAUAUUUAAUACUGUGAUGUAUGUACUCAUCCUGCACGUGUAGUGUCGUACUCAUGAAUGUUAUAAACUGCAGCUGUGUUGUAUGCAACUUAGUACUGUUGUAGUGGCUGUUGGAAGGCAUCUUCAAAUGUAACUGUCGUUUAAACAUGUUGAGAUGUUAAUUAAUGGAGUUGUUGGACUUUAUUUUGGCCACUGAAGUAUAUAGCGAUGAAACUCGCUAAAAACAGGAAUAGGAAGCAGAAAACUGGAGAUACUGUGGGAAAUUCACAUUUGCAAAAUAAGAUGCUGAAAUAGCAGAAACGCAUCACAAAUCCAGUACCACACCAGGGCUACAGGAUUGUACAACCAAACGUUCUCUGCCAGAACCCUAUAUUUUUUGGGAUGGUUACUAAGGAUAGGCCAUGGCAUAUACCGAAGAUCAUUAUUUUAUAUUUUACCAUUUGUGCCGUAUUAAUGUCUGUUUAAUAUAUUAAUGUUAUGGCACUGUCAAUAGUAGUUUCACAAAUACAAUUUAAGAAAAUGAAACAGUUCACAUUCCGCUGUGAAAACCCACUGUCAUAUAAUUUUAUUGAAGUGGAUGACACUUGUAUAUCUUGUGUUGGAGUUACUGUUGCAAUGAAUGUCAUUUUUUUGUGUGACAUGUUAAAAACAACUGCAAUAAAAUAAAUUUGUUUAUUGCAAAUGGA